rnacentral:miRNA from 1 species
AUCAGUUCGUAUCAAAGGU